rnacentral:rRNA from 1 species
ACGAACGCUGGCGGCGUGCUUAACACAUGCAAGUCGAGCGGUAAGGCCCUUCGGGUACACGAGCGGCGAACGGGUGAGUAACACGUGGGUGACCUGCCUCUAGCUCUGGGAUAAGCCUGGGAAACUGGGUCUAAUACCGGAUAUGACUCCACGGCGCAUGUUGUGGGGUGGAAAGCCUUGUGUGGCUAGAGAUGGGCCCGCGGCCUAUCAGCUUGUUGGUGGGGUGAUGGCCUACCAAGGCGACGACGGGUAGCCGGCCUGAGAGGGCGACCGGCCACACUGGGACUGAGACACGGCCCAGACUCCUACGGGAGGCAGCAGUGGGGAAUCUUGCGCAAUGGGCGAAAGCCUGACGCAGCGACGCCGCGUGAGGGAUGACGGCCU